UACGUAGGUGGCUAGCGUUGUCCGGAUUUACUGGGCGUAAAGAGCGCGCAGGCGGUCGUUCAAGUCGAGUGUGAAAGCCCCCGGCUCAACUGGGGAGGGUCACUCGAUACUGAUCGACUUGAAGGCGGGAGAGGGAAGUGGAAUUCCCGGUGUAGUGGUGAAAUGCGUAGAUAUCGGGAGGAACACCAGUGGCGAAGGCGACUUCCUGGCCUGUUCUUGACGCUGAGGCGCGAAAGCUAGGGGAGCAAACGGG
rnacentral:rRNA from 1 species